rnacentral:tRNA from 1 species
CAAAGAAUAGUUUAACUUAGAACUCUAGCUUUGGGAGCUAGGGGUGGGGGUUAAACUCCCUCUUCUUUGA